rnacentral:rRNA from 1 species
CACGAACCGUACGAACGUUAUUCGGAAUUACUGGGCUUAAAGCGUGCGUAGGCGGCGCGGAAAGUUGGGUGUGAAAUCCCUCGGCUCAACCGAGGAACUGCGCUCAAAACUACCGUGCUUGAGGGAGACAGAGGUGAGCGGAACUGAUGGUGGAGCGGUGAAAUGCGUUGAUAUCAUCAGGAACACCAGUGGCGAAGGCGGCUCACUGGGUCUCUUCUGACGCUGAGGCACGAAAGCUAGGGUAGCGAACGGG